GACGUAGGGCGCGAACGUUGUCCGGAUUUAUUGGGCGUAAAGAGCUCGUAGGCGGCUUGUCGCGUCGACUGUGAAAACCCGUGGCUCAACCAUGUGGUCUGCAGUCGAUACGGGCAGGCUAGAAUUCGGUAGGGGAGACUGGAAUUCCUGGUGUAGCGGUGAAAUGCGCAGAUAUCAGGAGGAACACCGGUGGCGAAGGCGGGUCUCUGGGCCGAUAUUGACGCUGAGGAGCGAAAGCGUGGGGAGCGAACAGG
rnacentral:rRNA from 1 species